AUUUUAUGUUAUAUAAAAUACAAACAAUGUUUUUUGAUUUCUCUGUAUUCUUCAGAUGAGGAUUCCUGGUGAAGAUCUCUGGCUAUGCCCUGUGAACUUCAGAGCUCACUGGAUUUUAGUGGUAUUUACUAUAGGACUACGUUAAUUAACCUUUCUUUAGUUGUGUUAUCAUGUGCUUUUUAUAAUUUAUGUAAUUAUGUUACAUAUGCAGAUAUUUAACUACAUCCCAAUGACCCCGCAGAACACACCUGCUGUAUACACCAAUAAUAUGAAUGUCAUAAAGAAAAUUUUGUGUUUUCCCGAAUUCUUUUAGAUUGUCAUCAUGUCGAAGGUUAUUGUGCUAAUUGACCCACUGGGAAAUGAACAUAAUUAUCUAUUGAAAGUACAGCACAACUGGAGGUGAGUGUCUUGGGAAUUUUUUUUUUUUUUUUUUUUACUUAAACUGAUGUGCACAACUUUCAAUUAAAACUUAUGUGUAAUUUCUUUUUAUUUUUUCAUAGUAUGUUCUUGAAGUAUAUUACUGAAGAAGUAGCC